UACGUAGGGUGCGAGCGUUGUCCGGAAUUAUUGGGCGUAAAGAGCUCGUAGGCGGUGUGUCACGUCGGCCGUGAAAACCUGCAGCUUAACUGUGGGCGUGCGGUCGAUACGGGCAUCACUGGAGUUCGGCAGGGGGAGACUGGAAUUCCUGGUGUAGCGGUGAAAUGCGCAGAUAUCAGGAGGAACGCCGGUGGCGAAGGCGGGGUCUCUGGGGCCGAUACUGACGCUGAGGAGCGAAAAGCGUGGGGGAGCAAACAGG
rnacentral:rRNA from 1 species